UCGGAAGGAAAGAAGAGAGGAAGAAGGACAAGUGCAUGGAGAUUUAGACCGACAGACUUCGUCUUUCGAAAGGAGAUGCCGAAAUCUGCGUAACAAGCUGCAGAAUCUUUCCGACAUAAGCGUUAUUCCUGGUUGUUUGUUUCGAUAUCGACUACGAAGCCGUGUCGACGAAAGGUCGAUUUCUUGUUUCCUUUGCGGAGCAAGACGGAGGCGUUGCGACGUCUUCGUGGAAAAUCCUAGGUACGUGGGGUCCAUCUGAUAAACAAUCUCUUACAGAAUGUCAAAUCCGUGAAUCGGUUUUGGUUGAAGUAACGGAAUUCCCAAUGGAUCGAUUUAUCUUCGAGGGAAAGAGAACCAGCCAGCCAGUUCGUGUGGCUCGAAGGACGAUCCUUACCUACUCUUUUUCGUCUUUCUUCCUGACUUUACUUUCAUGGGGUAUCCCGUAAGCGGGAACAUUUCGGAUUAUCACCGAUUUCUUCGAUUAUAGGAAAAAGAAAAAAAAAAAGAAGCAAA